AACGAACGCUGGCGGCAUGCCUAACACAUGCAAGUCGAACGAGAUCUUCGGGUCUAGUGGCGCACGGGUGCGUAACGCGUGGGAAUCUGCCCUUUGGUUCGGAAUAACAGUUGGAAACGACUGCUAAUACCGGAUGAUGACGAAAGUCCAAAGAUUUAUCGCCAGAGGAUGAGCCCGCGUAGGAUUAGCUAGUUGGUGUGGUAAAGGCGCACCAAGGCGACGAUCCUUAGCUGGUCUGAGAGGAUGAUCAGCCACACUGGGACUGAGACACGGCCCAGAAUCCUACGGGAGGCAGCAGUGGGGAAUAUUGGACAAUGGGCGAAAGCCUGAUCCAGCAAUGCCGCGUUGGUGAUGAAGGCCUUAGGGUUGUAAAGCUCUUUUACCCGGGAUGAUGAUGACAGUACCGGGAGAAUAAGCUCCGGCUAACUCCGUGCCAGCCGCCGCUGUAA
rnacentral:rRNA from 1 species